GCAGAAUACCCGGCACUGAUGUCUUUCAUUGCAUUCCUCUACAUCCUGAAUGCAAUACAGGAAUUUAAGCACAGGAGUCAUUUCCCUGCUGUUCUUCAUAUCCUAGUAUAUGUGUUUGGUUCUGCUGUCCUAAGUGUCCUUAAUUCAGCUGCUCUAGCAACAGAAGUAAUUCUGAAAGCAGAAAAUGGGGAACGAACUGUGGAUCUUCGGUUGAUCAUCUUUCCCCUUGAGUCUUUCUUUUUGGCCUGUUGGCUAGUUUUACAGAUCUAUGCAUACUGUAAGUAUUUGGAAAUAUUACAUAUUUG